rnacentral:rRNA from 1 species
UACGAAGGGGGCUAGCGUUGUUCGGAAUCACUGGGCGUAAAGGGCGCGUAGGCGGCUUUAUAAGUCGGGGGUGAAAGCCUGUGGCUCAACCACAGAAUUGCCUUCGAUACUGUAGAGCUCGAGACCGGAAGAGGUAAGUGGAACUGCGAGUGUAGAGGUGAAAUUCGUAGAUAUUCGCAAGAACACCGGUGGCGAAGGCGGCCAACUGGUCCGGUUCUGACGCUGAGGCGCGAAAGCGUGGGGAGCAAACAGG